rnacentral:rRNA from 1 species
GACGAACGCUGGCGGCGUGCCUAAUACAUGCAAGUAGAACGCACAGUUUAUACCGUAGCUUGCUACACCAUAGACUGUGAGUUGCGAACGGGUGAGUAACGCGUAGGUAACCUGCCUGGUAGCGGGGGAUAACUAUUGGAAACGAUAGCUAAUACCGCAUAAUAUUGAUUAUUGCAUGAUAAUUGAUUGAAAGAUGCAACUGCAUCACUACCAGAUGGACCUGCGUUGUAUUAGCUAGUAGGUGAGGUAACGGCUCACCUAGGCGACGAUACAUAGCCGACCUGAGAGGGUGAUCGGCCACACUGGGACUGAGACACGGCCCAGACUCCUACGGGAGGCAGCAGUAGGGAAUCUUCCGCAAUGGGCGCAAGCCUGACGGAGCAACGCCGCGUGAGUGAAGAAGGUCUUCGGAU